rnacentral:lncRNA from 1 species
GUUGAUAAAAAGAGAAUGACUCACAUUGCAGUUUUACGAGCAGAGUAUUUUUUUUUUUUUUUUUUUUUUUUUUUUUUUUUUGUAUAGGAAUCCUUCCAGUUUAUCGACCCAAAUAAGAUUUGGCUUAAUCGGUCUUUGGGUUUUUAACAAGAAGUUGCAAUGCAAGGGGAUGAUCCACGGAUCAUGAAGACAAGAUUGAGACAAUGGGCACAAGUUGUUGCUUGUUCGUUACGUCAAUCAUCAUCGUCACCGCUAUCAUCAUCCCUGUGA